rnacentral:sRNA from 1 species
UUGAUUUAGUCAGACGGUCCAA